GGAAUAUUGGGCAAUGGAGGAAACUCUGACCCAGCCAUGCCGCGUGAGUGAGAAGGUCUUCGGAUUGUAAAGCUCUUUUAUACAGGAAGAUGAUGACAGUACUGUAAGAAAAAGCACCGGCAAACUUCGUGCCAGCAGCCGCGGUAAUACGAAGGGUGCGAGCGUUGUUCGGAAUUACUGGGCGUAAAGGGUGCGUAGGCGGCGAUGUAAGAUAGCGGUGAAAUGCCGGAGCUCAACUCCGGAAUUGCCGUUAUGACUAUAUUGCUAGAGUGGUAGAGAGGAUAUUGGAAUACCCAGUGUAGAGGUGAAAUUCGUAGAUAUUGGGUAGAACACCGGUGGCGAAGGCGAGUAUCUGGCUAUCAACUGACGCUGAGGCACGAAAGCAUGGGGAUCAAACA
rnacentral:rRNA from 1 species